GCCUCGUUCGCUCCUCUGAUCCUCUCGCACGCGGCAUUCGCUAUCGACGCGCGGCGCCGUCGUCUCUCUCGCCGGUGCGGCGUCCUGGACUCGGGACUUGGGAGGAGGGGGGGGGGGGGGGGGGGGGGAGGUAGGCGGGAGGAGCAAGGUACAGGAGCUCCACACCUCGCCCUACCGAGCCCUCCGCUGCCGCCGCGCCCAUUCGUCCUCCACCUCAAGUCGCUCCCGUCCCCCGUCGCCGCUGCGGCCGCGCUCCUCUCCGCGCCGACGCGCCUCCACGACCACCCCUUCGCCGCCUGCGUGCUCUACCGCCUCGCCCGCGCGCGCCUCUUCCCGCUCGUGCCCCCGCUCCUCGCCACGCUGCACUCCCGCGGCGCGCCGCUCCGUCCCUCCGUGCUCGCCGCCGCCUCCCGCCCCGACGCCGCGGUCCUCGUCUUCCGCGCCGUCCCGGCCUUCUGCUCCCACUCCGCCGCCACAUUCCAUUCGCUCCUCAACACCCUUGUCUCCAAUGGCCGCGCGGAUGCCGCCAGGGACAUGCUCCAGCUCGCCCCGAAGCUCGGCGUCCGUGAGGGUGAGCUGGGCGCGGCGGAGCGGCUCAUCGACGAGAUGGUGCGCCGGGGCGUGGCGCCAAAUGCGGCCACCUACUCCCUGCUGAUGCAGGGGCUCUGCGACGCCGACCUCCACGCCGACGCCGAGAAGCUGAUGUUUGACAUGGAGUACCGUGGCUGCCAGGCCGAGGUGGUGAACUACGGCGUGCUGACGAGCUCCCGCGCGAGGCGCGGCGACGUCAACGGCGUCAGGGAGCUCCUCUCCGCCAUGCGCAAGCGGAAGCUCAAGCCCGACGACGCGAGCUACAACGUCCUGAUCAAGUGCCCGUGCGACGUCGGCAGGGUCGACGAGGCGCACAGGGCGCUGCUUGACAUGCAGCUCAAGGGCACCGUGCCGGGCGCCGCCAACGUACCGCGUCCUCGUCGACGGGUGCUGCAGGGCUCGCGACUUCGAGCUGGGCACCUUGUGAGAGGGCUCGGCGAGGACGGCAAGGUGGAGGAGGCGUGCUUCGUCUUGGAGCAGAUGGCGAGGAGGGAGAUGAGCUUGGAUGCAGAUGGGUGGCAAGCUGUUGUCACCUGCGUUCGCAGCAGCCGCAGCACCCAGGCAAGUGAGAUCAAGCUUGUCAAUGAGUUAUUGGGGCAUGGUGGGUGUAUCAACGUUCUAUUUGAGACGCCCUCUGGCUUUGCAAUAUUCGCUUAUGAUGGGAUCAAGCUCCUUAAACCAAAUGCCAUGCAGGAUAUCUGGGCAGACUUCGUCAGCGAAUAUGUGGCAAAAAGAGCUGUUGCGCUGAAAGAGUUUAAAACUUUUGAGGACAAGUUGGCUGGCAUUAAUCAUGAAACUGGUGGCAGUGAAGCGCUUGCUACGAUGAUCCAGAAGUAUACGGCCCCUCUGCAGAAACUACCUGUAGGAAAUGAUAAUUAUAGAGAUAUCAUUGAAAAGCGCUUGGUUAUUAAACUUAUUAUUGAGAAGGCAGGUGUCAUGUUCGAGUGUGAUCGUUGUGUGAACCAACAUAAUGACCCCCUGCGCAGUGCUGCUGAGCACAUUAAGAAAAUAUCUCGCAUUGACACACAGAGUUGGGAUUUAAUGAAAGUUGCGGCAGCGUUCAAGGUGAUAUGCUGCCCUGGAGAAAAAAAUGAACCUGAAGAAUGGCUGUUUACAAGACUACAACUGGAGUGGUUUAGAGAUGAUGCACCUAAAUAUAAAGAUAAAAUCUUGAAGGUGUCUUGGUUGAUAGUCUAUAAUGAAAUAUUCAGGGCCCGUGAACUUAGGCUUAAGACGGCUCGAGUAUUGUUCUGUUUGGUGAAGCGGGCCAAAGAGGCAUAUGAAGCUGAGCAAGCAGGUGAAGCUGCAAGUGAUAAUGAAAUUGGUCCUGAUGGGAAGGAGAUUCAUCCUGGUAUCACACCUGUAAUCAUUGAUGAACUUACAGAGUGCGUGUGUGAUAUCAUUCUUUCAGCAGGACAUAAGGAAAGACAGGUAUGCUUCGUGUGCUCCAUCUGAACACUCUAAA
rnacentral:lncRNA from 1 species